rnacentral:rRNA from 1 species
UACGGAGGGUGCGAGCGUUGUCCGGAAUCACUGGGCGUAAAGGGCGCGUAGGCGGCCUGAUAAGUAGGGGGUGAAAUCCUGCGGCUUAACCGCAGGGCUGCCUUCUAAACUGUCAGGCUAGAGCACAGUAGAGGCAGGUGGAAUUCCCGGUGUAGCGGUGGAAUGCUUAGAGAUCGGGAAGAACAUCAGUGGCGAAGGCGGCCUGCUGGGCUGUUGCUGACGCUGAGGCGCGACAGCGUGGGGAGCAAACAGG